UGGAAAAUUGAAGAGACGCAG
rnacentral:piRNA from 1 species